rnacentral:rRNA from 1 species
UUUCCGGUUGAUCCCGCCGGACCCUACUGCUAUCGGGGUGGGACUAAGACAUGCUAGUCGAGCGCCUUGGGCUAUGGCGAGGCGCGGCGUACGGCUCAGUAACACGUGGUUAACCUACCCUUAGGACGGGGACAACCCCGGGAAACUGGGGCUAAUUUCUGAUAGGUGAGGAGGCCUGGAAUGGUUCUUCGCCGAAAAGGCGUUGAAACCACGCUUUUCAGCGUCGCCUAAGGAUGGGGCCGCGCCCGAUCAGGUUGUUGGUGAGGUAACGGCUCACCAAGCCUAUAACCGGUACGGGCCGUGAGAGCGGGAGCCCGGAGAUGGGCACUGAGACAAGGGCCCAGGCCCUACGGGGCGCAGCAGUCGCGAAAACUCCGCAAUGCGCGAAAGCGUGACGGGGCUACCCCGAGUGCCGUCCGCUGAGGAUGGCUUUUCCCCGGUGUAAUGAGCCGGGGGAAUAAGGAGAGGGCAAGACUGGUGUCAGCCGCCGCGGUAAUACCAGCUCUCCGAGUGGUAGGGACGAUUAUUGGGCUUAAAGCGUCCGUAGCCGGCUUAGCAAGUCUCCUGUUAAAUUCAGCGACUCAAUCGUUGAGCCGCGGGGGAUACUACUAGGCUAGGAGGCGGGAGAGGUCGACGGUAUUCCCGGGGGAGGGGUGAAAUCCUAUAAUCCCGGGAGGACCACCAGUGGCGAAGGCUGUCGGCUAGAACGCGCUCGACGGUGAGGGACGAAAGCUGGGGGAGCGAACCGGAUUAGAUACCCGGGUAGUCCCAGCUGUAAACGAUGCGGGCUAGGUGUUGAGGUGGCUACGAGCCACUUCAGUGCCGCAGGGAAGCCAUUAAGCCCGCCGCCUGGGGAGUACGGCCGCAAGGCUGAAACUUAAAGGAAUUGGCGGGGGAGCACCACAAGGCGUGAAGCUUGCGGUUCAAUUGGAUUCAACGCCGGGAA